CCUACGUGAGGCUGCAGUGGGGAAUAUUGCACAAUGGGCGCAAGCCUGAUGCAGCCAUGCCGCGUGUGUGAAGAAGGCCUUCGGGUUGUAAAGCACUUUCAGCGGGGAGGAAGGCGGUAAGGUUAAUAACCUCAUCGAUUGACGUUACCCGCAGAAGAAGCACCGGCUAACUCCGUGCCAGCAGCCGCGGUAAUACGGAGGGUGCAAGCGUUAAUCGGAAUUACUGGGCGUAAAGCGCACGCAGGCGGUCUGUCAAGUCGGAUGUGAAAUCCCCGGGCUCAACCUGGGAACUGCAUUCGAAACUGGCAGGCUAGAGUCUUGUAGAGGGGGGUAGAAUUCCAGGUGUAGCGGUGAAAUGCGUAGAGAUCUGGAGGAAUACCGGUGGCGAAGGCGGCCCCCUGGACAAAGACUGACGCUCAGGUGCGAAAGCGUGGGGAGCAAACAGGAUUAGAUACCCGAGUAGUC
rnacentral:rRNA from 1 species